rnacentral:ncRNA from 2 species
AGUCUUCCACCCGCUUCAGGUUCCUGCCCGGUAUUGCCCGGCAGGUUAAACAGGGAAGCCGGUGCGUCUGUUCCAGACUAUCCCGGCGCUGCCCCCGCAACGGUAAAUGAGAGUCGGAUUACCUCAAGGUACUAUCUGACAGAUGAUUCAGCACGACCACUGUGCCUGCACGGGAAGGUCGAAUCAUCGGAUAUUCAUCCGCUCAUGAGCCCGGAGACCGGCCUGUCGCAUAUCACAGCA